rnacentral:rRNA from 1 species
CACGUAGGGUGCGAGCGUUGUCCGGAAUUAUUGGGCGUAAAGAGCUCGUAGGCGGUGUGUCGCGUCGGCCGUGAAAACCUGUGGCUUAACUAUGGGCUUGCGGUCGAUACGGGCAUCACUGGAGUUCGGCAGGGGAGACUGGAAUUCCUGGUGUAGCGGUGAAAUGCGCAGAUAUCAGGAGGGAACACCGGUGGCGGAAGGCGGGUCUCUGGGCCGA